CCCGGUCCGAAAGAAUCAAAACAGGGCCCGAUGCAGGUGAAAUCUCGCCCAAGCGUCGCAAAAGGUCGCCCGGGCGAGAAUUGGACCUCAUGUAAGGCCCAGGCGCUCAUUUGGACGCCCAAGCUUUGAGCCCCACCGCCCGGGCGUCGAAGGCCACCGCCCGGGGGACCAACGUCGAUUUUCUGGCGCUUUUGUUGACUUUUCAGCAUUCUGGUUGAUUGGUUGACUUUUCUGGUUGAUUGGUUGACUUUUCUGCAUUCUGGUUUACUUUUUUGCACUACAACGGUUUGGUACUUUAAUUCUUCCAUCAAACCAUUCCGAUAGCCUACAAAAUCAAGGGAAUUAGUCAAAAAAUAAUUAAGUUCCAC
rnacentral:lncRNA from 1 species